AUUGUGUCCCUCUUCAAAACAAAACUCAGUGCAAAUGCACACCAGGGCAUAUCUGGAGUGUUGCAGUAUGUCAGUCUUCACCUAACUGUUGUAAACUAAAAAACUGCACAUUUGAAACCACAGAAACAAAACCAAUGUGCCUCCCUGAAACAAGAGGUAUUCUGUGUGUGUGUGUGUGUGUGUGUGUGUGUGUGUGUGUGUGUGUGUGUGUGUGUGUGUGUGUGUGUGUAAUCCAAAAUGUGUACAUAAUCAAACAUACCAGUCUGUCAACAGUUUGCAUUUUCACAAGCCAGUUCAAAGACAGAAUGCAAAAGGCCCAGUACACAUUGCAAAUAAUGAUCUCUUUUAUUCACAGUUACUGUCAUUGGACAACUUAACAUAGCUGGAAGGGUAUAUUUUGAAAGUUACAGCAAUCCAAAUUCUAAUGAAUAUAAAACCUUGCAUGAUGAAUUAUUGCCAAAGCUGAAAGCGGUGUACAGUACAUUGAAUUCAUUUGAUGACAUACACAUCACAGGGUUCAGUCGUGGCAGUGUCAUCAUUGCUUUUGAAAUGAACCUCAACGACGUUUCAGCUGAUGUCCUUGCAAGCAAAACAGCAGAAUUGGAAAAAAUACUGAAUUCUACGUUCACGCUAGAGACAGCAGGCGUCGUUGAGAUCACAGUACCAGAAGGCCCGGUAAAAUAUGAUUCUAAACAGACAAUUCUCUGCCAAGCCAAGGAGGACAUGAAACCAAUUGAAUGGGUUUUGAAAAGGAGUGACGGUAAAACAUUUGACGUAACAACAGGCACUGAUGCUACAGUGAUACCCACUAGUAGGAAGACUACAAUUCUCCUCAGACAGGCAACGGAGAUCUGGGAAGGGCUGUACACGUGUGUCUUCAACCCAAAAUCAUCCAAUGUGACCAUAAACCACAAAGCCAGUGCAACACUAGACAUAGCGCUCCUGCCACAAAUUUACAUUAGUAGCACGCCCCAAUUUCCAGACUGUUACACGAAAUAUAAUGCAAAUGAUAGAAUCUUUGUCAGAGUUCAAUGUGAAAUUAUGAAUAGCACUGAAAACUACAAUGUGACAUGGAAUUACACCAACACUGAAACUCCAUUAAAUGAACAAAAAGAUGUUACCGGUACUGGCAUAAUUACAAGAGC
rnacentral:lncRNA from 13 species